rnacentral:rRNA from 1 species
UACGAAGGGGGCUAGCGUUGCUCGGAAUUACUGGGCGUAAAGCACACGUAGGCGGCUUCUUAAGUCGGUGGUGAAAUCCUGGAGCUCAACUCCAGAACUGCCUUCGAUACUGGGAAGCUCGAGUCCGGGAGAGGUGAGUGGAACUGCGAGUGUAGAGGUGAAAUUCGUAGAUAUUCGCAAGAACACCAGUGGCGAAGGCGGCUCACUGGCCCGGUACUGACGCUGAGGUGCGAAAGCGUGGGGAGCAAACAGG